GUGUCAGCCGCCGCGGUAAUACGUAGGUGGCAAGCGUUGUCCGGAUUUAUUGGGCGUAAAGGGCGCGCAGGCGGUCCGUUUAGUCCGAGGUGAAAUCUCCUGGCUCAACUGGGAGGGGUCUUCGGAUACUGGCGGACUCGAGGUGAGCAGAGGUGAGUGGAAUUCUGGGUGUAGUGGUGAAAUGCGUAGAUAUCCAGAGGAACACCAGUGGCGAAGGCGACUCACUGGGCUCCACCUGACGCUGAGGCGCGAAAGCGUGGGGAGCGAACCGGAUUAGAUACCCGCGUAGUCC
rnacentral:rRNA from 1 species